rnacentral:lncRNA from 1 species
GUAGAAGAAUUGGUUCCUUUUCUAUCACAGCAGGAACCGUGGGCAAGGAAAGAGGUACCUCAGAAAGAGUGGCCUGAUCGGCCCUGCAAGAAGACUGGCCUAAACCUGCGGCAGCAACCAAUUUCAAAAGCAGUCUCGAGCCUCCCAACGUUGUCUCCUCAUGAUUGGUAACCUCGACUGACGUAUCUGCAACGGUUUGUUGCGAAGGAAUCGAAGCGAUCAAUUCUUGGAGAACUGA